rnacentral:RNase_P_RNA from 1 species
AGAGGAAAGUCCGGGCAACACAGAGCAUCACAUUUCUUAACGGGAAGCUGGGGGUGACCUCAGGGUUAAGGUGACAGAGAACAACCGCCUCGGGCAGUCGUGACUGACUGGGGCAAGGGUGAAAAGGCGAGGUAAGAGCUCACCGGGCGCCACGGCGACAUGGCGUGCCGCACCACCUGUGAGUUGCAAGGUCAAGUAUACCGGCAUCUAAGGGCUGCUCGUCCAUUGUCGGGGGGUAGACUGCUAUACCGCCGCAGCACUGCGUCGGACAGAUAAAUGACAGGCAGCUGCGGAAAUUUGCCCGCAGCUACAUAACCCGGCUUAUAGUUCUGCUGC